GACAGAAGAAGCNCCGGCUAACUACGUGCCAGCAGCCGCGGUAAUACGUAGGGUNCAAGCGUUAAUNGGAAUUACUGGGNGUAAAGGGUGCGCAGGNGGUUUUGUAAGUCAGAUGUGAAAUCCCCGGGCUUANCCUGGGAAUUGCGUUNGAAACUACAAGACUAGAGUGUGGCAGAGGGGGGUGGAAUUCCAUGUGUAGCAGUGAAAUGCGUAGAUAUAUGGAGGAACAUCGAUGGCGAAGGCAGCCCCCUGGGUUAACACUGACACUCAUGCACGANNNNGUGGGGAGCAAACAGGAUUAGAUACCCUGGUAGUCCACGCCCUAAACUAUGUCAACUAGUUGUUGGGUCUUAUUAGACUUAGUAACGAAGCUAACGCGUGAAGUUGACCGCCUGGGGAGUACGGUCGCAAGAUUAAAACUCAAAGGAAUUGACGGGGACCCGCACAAGCGGUGGAUUAUGUGGAUUAAUUCGAUGCAACGCGAAAAACCUUACCUACCCUUGACAUGUCAGAAAGGAUUCAGAGAUGAAUUUGUGCUUGAAAGAGAAUCUGAACACAGGUGCUGCAUGGCUGUCGUCAGCUCGUGUCGUGAGAUGUUGGGUUAAGUCCCGCAACGAGCGCAACCCUUGUCAUUAAUUGCCAGCAUUAAGUUGGGCACUUUAAUGAGACUGCCGGUGAUAAACCGGAGGAAGGUGGGGAUGACGUCAAGUCCUCAUGGCCCUUAUGG
rnacentral:rRNA from 1 species